GCCGAAGCAGGGUGCUGCUUACAGAAACGUAGCGUGUUCGAUGCUGGUUCAUUUAUGUUUCGCGACAUGAGUAUCGUGUGUACACGUGGUGUCAGUGUACACAACCGACCAUCUGGAAAUUGGGACGAGGGAAUUUUGGUCACGAUGAAAACAUUGCUUGAUCGGACACAUUGUUGCUGCUGCCUACUCUAUUUCCCUAGUUUUCCUAUAUACAUAUGUACCUUGGUUCCUUUUGUUUGCUGCCACUGUGCUUGCCUUUCGAUCUUCCGAUUUAUUCUUAAGUCACCGUUGAACAAAUUGGGGAAGAACGAUCUUCU